AAAAAUCCCAAGAGUCCUCUGCUUGUCAAAAAGUUGCGUAUCCCUGUGACUAUCAAAUCAUCUAUUACCAGUGGCUACUCAACUUGUUCGAAGUACUCACAAUCCCUCAUGUUUCAUAUUUUUUUCUCUAUAAAUUUGAUCAAUUGACAAAAAGUUUCUCGCACAUUCCACCUAUAACUUUCUUCCAUUCAGAAAAUCUUCCUUGUUGAAUUUGAUUUUAUUCUAAAUUAUGGAUUACCCAUCCAUCUAUAUCGAAAUCCAAAAACCAUCCAAGAACUCUACUUCUGCAUCUCUUCAGUUGGUUAACCGACUAUAUGACGUAGACCAACUUUAGAAACCAGUUCUCUACCUUUUUAGAAAUCCCUUUUUCUUAUCUACAUACCUACUUCUGUGGUUAAUAACAUAGUUCCUCUUCAAAUUGCUGAUGCAGAUGACUCUCCAGCCACAGAUUUGAUCCCCUAAAAGGCUAGAUAUCAUCGAGGAAGAAGAUAUGGGCCCUGGUGUUUGUGACUAAGGAAAAAUCAACUUUUGAAACAAACCCUCGACCUGUUUCCAUUAAUAUCCUCACACAAAAAUCAAAAAGCAUCUUGAAGAUGCUUAGCUAGAAGAAGAUCUUAGAGUCAACAAAAUGAAAUGAUCCCCCUCCGCUGCUUCUUGUCCAUCUGAGACGAACAGAUAAUGACCUAUUUAUUCAAAAUGGGGUAGAACUAUCAAAUAUUCUAUCCUUAAUACCUCCUCUCUUUGUCCAUCCCACACUCCUACUUCUUCAAAAUCCAUCCCAAAAAGAAACCCCCUAGUUCCUCAAUAACCUUUUCAAAGCCUAAAUCUAUUACCAACUCACAUCCAUCGAAAUAUGUGAAUGAACCCACUCCAUUUGGUGACUCUAACCCUGAGUAUAUUAAAGCGGGCACACCCAAGCAAGUCGAGUCCUCUGAUGUUUUUGAUCCCAAGCUGCAACACAUCUUCUAUUUCAAAAGAGGUCUUUUAUUUAAGGGCGAGUUGUAACAGAUCUUGGUGGCUCUAAAAUGUCUAUUCUCCUAUACAAAUUGGAAGUUAACUGAUGGUAUCACCUAUUUCUUCAAGGCACUACUUAGAGAAAAUUUGGUCAACCUGAGGUAUAUGAAUUUUAUACAAAUGGUUCUGAAAAUAGGACUUUUUUUCUACUACUGUGUGGAGUAUAUCACUUGGUUGAUGAGGACCUCUCUAGGAUCCUAAGUAUUUCAUUGGGAGGAUGAGACCCUCUUUGGAUAACAUGCAGAUGCCUCAUGUUAUCCAAACUCACACAAAUGUCUUUUUUUUUUAAAAUUCAACAUUGCCAUUGAGUCCAAAUCUUCAAAAUUAGCCUAUUCGUAUAUAUAGUUUACUUAUAUCGGGUACUAAACAAAUUCCGAAGGUCUAUUUGGAGAAUUAAACACCAUACAAAAUUAGCUGGUGCACAACUAAUGUCCGGUGCAUGGAUCCUUCUUCCUGAAUGGAGGCCUUUGGCCACAAACACAGGGAAGGAAAUCAUUCUUUAUUGCAAAAUCAAGGUAAUGAUUGCGAUCGCGAAGGGUGAUGAAGUCCUUCUAUGCAAAUGCAACAAAGCUACUGCGAAUGCGAAGGCUUAAUUUAUUAGCCUUCACAAAUGUAGAGCCUUGAUCGCAAACACAAAGACCAAUUUAAUGGCCAAUCAAACUUUGAUCCCUGUGAUCAUGAGGUGAGAUUUACGAUUACGAGGUACUGCGCAUGAAACAAUAUAAAUACUCUAUUUUUGCAAUUUGACUUAACUUUUGGACCUCCAAGCUUCAACAAAGGCAAAUUUUGAGGAUUUCAACAUUGAAAUUCAAUUGAAUAACUUAUAAACUCUUAAUCACACUAUUUUCCAUGGAUUAUAUCUUUAAAAAGAACUUCAUAUCAUGAUAUUAAAUGAACAUUUUGGUUUUUUAUCGAUAAAGUUUUGAAAAGUUUUUUCUUCGAUUUGGACCUUGUUUUUGACCCUUUGUCAUGCGGGUUUUUCCUGUAGACUCAUAUACCCUUGGAGACUAUCUUUUUAAACUAGAAUUUCAGUUUAACCCUUUCAAUUUCAAACUCAUUUUUCAAAUUCGUUUUGAACCCAACCCAAAUAUGAGCAAUAUGGAUAUCAUUCUUUUAACGCGUAGAUGUUAUUUUUCAAUGUUGUAGUUAAUUCUGAUGUCAUUCACAAGGGGAAAGCUCUGUGUUGAAUUAAUUUAUACUGGGAUUUUAUUUUUUUGAGGUAGAUUAUGGAUUAACUUCUUUUAGAUUAAGCUGGGCAGUUAAUAUUUAAGUAAAACAUGCAAUGGGUUAGGUAAAAUAUCUAUAGAGUUUAUAUUUUGAGAUCAUUUUUAUUGUUGUGUGCCCGUGUGGGGGCUUAUAUUUUGUUGUAUUUAGUUUAUGAUAUUUGAUAUUGUAUGCUGCCUAUGUGGAAGAUUUAUUUGAAAUCAUUGAUAUUAUCUGUGCAUUUAGAUAAAUUUAUUCAAGAUAUAAUGCCUGCACGAGGGAUUAUUUUGCUAAUACAUGCCUUAUUUGAGCGUUGGCUGCCUUCAUAAUGAAUAGCAAUACCCGAGUUACGGUUGAUAUGAUAAUAGUGAUGUCUUUUAUAUAUAUUUAUUCUGAUGGUUCCUAAUUGAAGUUGAUGAUCAUAAAUUGUGGAAAUAUUGAGUUGAUUUUUGGGCUCACUAUACAUAUACAUGUUGGAUGGAUUUGGAUAUCAUCACAUUUAAUUGAUUGUAAGCAUUACAUCCUUAUUUCAUACGUAUACAUUCAUGAAACACUGGUACUAUUGAGAAUUACUAUUUUCAAAAGGAUAUGAGACACUUUUAUGAAAACUCUCUCCGCGAACACAAACCGAGAGGAGAAUUUAGAUGAGAUUGAGAUUGUGACAUGAGAUAUAGUAUAUGAGUUGCAAACCCUCCAUGGGUCCUACUUGAUAGUUGCAUGAUCAUCUUACUUAUCAAGGCUGGGCCAUGAUAUUAUGAUCUAGUUUUUGGGUCAUUACAUUGUUCAAGUAUCUCAUGAGGAGAGGGAUUAGGACUUUGCAGGCCGAUCUGAUCAUGAAAGAGCUAAAAAUUCCGAAAUUAUUCAUCAUUUGACACGGUUGCUCCCACCUAUUCCACCCUCCUCUUCUGCUUCUUAGCACCUUAGGAUUUUCUCCACUCUUUUCCCA
rnacentral:lncRNA from 1 species